rnacentral:rRNA from 1 species
GUGCCAACACAUUAUCGGAACGCUGAAUGUUGGGUGUUAAGUAUUAGAUAGUGGCGGACGGGUGAGUAACGCGUGGGUAACCUACCCAUAAAGCCGGGACAACCCUUGGAAACGAGGGCUAAUACCGGAUAAUCUUAGAUGUUGGCAUCAACGUUUAAGGAAAGGUGGCCUCUGAAAAUGCUACCGAUUAUGGAUGGACCCGCGUCUGAUUAGCUAGUUGGUGGGGUAAAGGCCUACCAAGGCGACGAUCAGUAGCCGGCCUGAGAGGGUGAACGGCCACACUGGGACUGAGACACGGCCCAGACUCCUACGGGAGGCAGCAGUGGGGAAUCUUCCGCAAUGGACGAAAGUCUGACGGAGCAACGCCGCGUGUAUGAUGAAGGUCUUCGGAUUGUAAAGUACUGUCUUUGGGGAAGAACGAUCUCUUUGAGAAUAUUGAGGGGAUAUGACGGUACCCAAGGAGGAAGCCCCGGCUAACUACGUGCCAGCAGCCGCGGUAAUACGUAG